UAAAACAAAUCUUCAUUCUUCUCCAUCUCCCUCACCUAUCCCAAACCCUAGCUGCCUCUAAAUCCCUCAUCCCCACUGGCCGGCGUUGGCGCACUAAACACCACCAAUCACCUCCAAACCUUCACCCUAUAAUCUCCAACUCCUCCCCAAUCUAAACCUCUUAUUAUUUGCUCCGAAAUCUUCACCAAAAUCAACAUAUUAUAGAUCUAAGAUUCCAAAAACUUGAGUUCUAUCCACUCUCAGAUUCUUCAUGAUUUACCGCGUAUUUUGGCUCGAAACUCAAGUUAAUCGAUUGCUCUUAAUGAGAGCUAUCAAGUUAUGUUAGCUUCGAUCCAUUUCGAAGCCACAGAAUCCAUUCGAGUUUUGGUUGGUUGGCCCGUUUUUCUCUUCCAAAUUGUUUUUAGUCGUGUAAUGCCUCCAGGGCCUAUUUGUUUGUUUUAAACUUCAGGAAUGAGAUGAGAACUGGAUAGUGUUUGAAGAGAGAUAUUAAGAGCAGUAAUAUACAGAUAAGUCUUGCUAUUUACAAAUGGAAUUAAACCUGUUGGACUGGAGUUAGUUAACGAGUUGUAUGAUUUGACUUCUAUACCUUAUUUGUAUGAUAAGCUAAUUUAGUAUAAUAGUUGAUUCUGUUGUAUUAUUUUAAGCCUGUUGUAGUUAAAUACAGGCCCAUCUGAAUCUGUAGUUAUAGAGUGAUAAUUCUAUGGAAAUUUGUUUCUAAAUUAGAAUUCUGCAUUGGGCUUGGUAAAUCUUCAAGCCCAAAUCAGUAGAGUUCUAUUAAAUUGAAUUUGAGCAAUAAUAAUGAGCUCAUCUGAUAGUUUCUUAAGGCUUAGCUUGCUGGGUCCAGGCUUCAUAAGCAAGCCUAACUCAAGUCCAUUUAUUCCGAUAGAUUGUCUUGUAAACAAACCUGGAAAACCCAUCUGGACUUUAACCAUACUACUGUGGGAAUUUGAUGA